GAUGAACGCUAGCUACAGGCUUAACACAUGCAAGUCGAGGGGAAACGACAUCGAAAGCUUGCUUUUGAUGGGCGUCGACCGGCGCACGGGUGAGUAACGCGUAUCCAACCUGCCCAUCACUUGGGAAUAACCUUGCGAAAGUAAGACUAAUACCCAAUGAUACCCCACGAAGGCAUCGGAAUGGGAUUAAAGAUUUAUCGGUGAUGGAUGGGGAUGCGUCUGAUUAGCUUGUUGGCGGGGUAACGGCCCACCAAGGCAACGAUCAGUAGGGGUUCUGAGAGGAAGGUCCCCCACAUUGGAACUGAGACACGGUCCAAACUCCUACGGGAGGCAGCAGUGAGGAAUAUUGGUCAAUGGGCGAGAGCCUGAACCAGCCAAGUAGCGUGCAGGAAGACGGCCCUAUGGGUUGUAAACUGCUUUUAUAAGGGAAUAAAGUGGGUCACGUGUGACUUUUUGCAUGUACCUUAUGAAUAAGGACCGGCUAAUUCCGUG
rnacentral:rRNA from 1 species